rnacentral:rRNA from 1 species
UGGUGCCUUCGGGAACUGUGAGACAGGUGCUGCAUGGCUGUCGUCAGCUCGUGUUGUGAAAUGUUGGGUUAAGUCCCGCAACGAGCGCAACCCUUAUCCUUUGUUGCCAGCGGUUAGGCCGGGAACUCAAAGGAGACUGCCAGUGAUAAACUGGAGGAAGGUGGGGAUGACGUCAAGUCAUCAUGGCCCUUACGACCAGGGCUACACACGUGCUACAAUGGCAUAUACAAAGAGAAGCGACCUCGCGAGAGCAAGCGGACCUCAUAAAGUAUGUCGUAGUCCGGAUUGGAGUCUGCAACUCGACUCCAUGAAGUCGGAAUCGCUAGUAAUCGUAGAUCAGAAUGCUACGGUGAAUACGUUCCCGGGCCUUGUACACACCGCCCGUCACACCAUGGGAGUGGGUUGCAAAAGAAGUAGGUAGCUUAA